UAAGCGGAGGAAAAGAAACUAACAAGGAUUCCCCUAGUAACUGCGAGUGAAGCGGGAAAAGCUCAAAUUUAAAAUCUGGCGGUCUUUGGCUGUCCGAGUUGUAAUUUAGAGAAGCGUCUUCCGCGCCGGACCGUGCACAAGUCUCCUGGAAUGGAGCGUCAUAGAGGGUGAGAAUCCCGUCUUUGGCACGGAUGCCUGUGCUUCUGUGAUGCGCUCUCAAAGAGUCGAGUUGUUUGGGAAUGCAGCUCAAAAUGGGUGGUGAGCUCCAUCUAAAGCUAAAUAUUGGCGAGAGACCGAUAGCGAACAAGUACCGUGAGGGAAAGAUGAAAAGCACUUUGGAAAGAGAGUGAAACAGUACGUGAAAUUGUUGAAAGGGAAACGCUUGAAGUCAGUCGCGUCGACCGAGACUCAGCCUUGCCUUGGCUUGGUGUACUUCUCGGCCCGACGGGUCAGCAUCAAUUUUGCCCCUCGGAUAAUGGCAAGGGAAAGGUGGCACCUUUGCGGGUGUGUUAUAGUCUCCUGUCGCAUGCGAGGGGUGGGAUUGAGGAACUCAGCGCGCACCUUGGUGUCGGGGCUUCGGCCCACGUCACGCGCUUAGGAUGCUGGCGUAAUGGCUUUAAACGACC
rnacentral:rRNA from 1 species